rnacentral:lncRNA from 1 species
GAACACUAACAAUGCUAAACAAGCUUUGAUAAAAUUUAGAAAAAUCUUAAAGAAAUUACAAAGAAAUAAUAAGAAAUCUUAAAGAAAUAUUAGAAUGAUUAUAAAUAUAUCUCAAAUACAUCUCAAUUCAAUCUUAAUUUAAUCUUAGUUGAAAUCUUAUUGGAUUUCAUUCAAAUUUUAGGCCAAAAACUAACUAAAUCUUAAAUCCUAAACAAACUCAAAUAAAAUCCUAAAUCCUAAAUCAAAUCUUGAUCAAACCUUAAAUCAAAUCUUAAAUCCUAAAUCAAAUCCUAAAUCCUAAUUCAAAUCCUAAAUCUUAAUUCAAACCCUAAAUCCUAAAUUAAAUUCUAAUCAAAUCCUAAAUCCUAAAAUAAAUCGUAAUCAAUCCUAAAUAAAUCCUAAAUCCUAAACUAAAUUCUAACCAAAUCUUAAUUCUGAAUCAAAUCUUAACUAAAUCUUAAAUCCUAAACCAGAUCCUAAUCAAAUCCUAUCCCUAAAUCAAAUCCUAACCAAACCCUAAACCCUAAAUUCUAAAUCAAAUCCUAAUCAAAUCUUAAAUCCUAAAUCAAAUCCUAAUCUUAAAUCAAAUCCUAACCAAAUCCUAAUCCUAAAUCAAAUCCUAAUCUUGAACCAAAUUUUAACCAAUCUUAACCCUAAAUCAAAUCCUAACCAAAUCCUAAAUC